rnacentral:rRNA from 1 species
CGUACCGCAUGCAUGAAGAAGGCCUUCGGGUUGUAAAGUAAUUUCAUUUGUAAGGAAGGGGGUGUNGUUAAUAGAUGGGGAUCAUGACGUUACCGCAGAAUAAGCACCGGCUAACUACGUGCCAGCAGCCGCGGUAAUACGGAGGGUGCGAGCGUUAAUCGGAAUUACUGGGCGUAAAGCGCAUGCAGGUGGUUCAGUAAGUCAGAUGUGAAAUCCCGGGGCUCAACCUGGGAACUGCAUUUGAAACUGCUUAACUAGAGUACUGCAGAGGGGGGUGGAAUUUCGGGUGUAGCGGUGAAAUGCUUUGAUAUCUGGACGAAUACCAAUGGCGAAGGCAGCCCCCUGGACAGAUACUGACGCUCAG